rnacentral:rRNA from 1 species
UACGUAGGGUGCGAGCGUUAAUCGGAAUUACUGGGCGUAAAGCGUGCGCAGGCGGUUUGUUGUGUCUGAUGUGAAAGCCCCGGGCUUAACCUGGGAAUGGCCGUUGAAACUGGCGAACUGGAGUGUGGCAGAGGGGGGUGGAAUUCCGCGUGUAGCAGUGAAAUGCGUAGAGAUCCGGAGGAACACCAGAGGCGAAGGCGGCCUACUGGGCUGCACCUGACGCUGAGCCGCGAAAGCCAGGGGAGCGAACGGG